CCGUGCUAGGCGGGGAGGUAGCGGUGCCCUGUACCCGCAAUCCGCUUCAGCGGGGCUGAACGCCGCCCCCGGCCUGGCGCUGUGGGGUCCGCAUCCGGCACGUGGUGUUGAGGAUCGGGUCCUGCGCGACGUCCACCCGUGAACCCCGUCAGGUCCGGAAGGAAGCAGCGGUAAGCGGGCGAGGGCGGGUGCCGCAGGGGUGCCGGGUCUGAGCCGGCGACCGGAAGACGCCCGGAGCGACCAGGUCAAAGGCGGCCGCACGG
rnacentral:SRP_RNA from 1 species